CGCUUCCGCACUCCGCAAGAGCAGCUCGUCAUUCAGCAGCGAUGCUGAGACGGCGCCACCUAUUGACGUCCUGUGAUCAACCACCUCAUCGCUGACAAGACCAUACGGAGAAAAGUGGAAGGCAAAGAUGCAGGAGAAUGAGACUCGCUAUAUUGAGAGCCUCACCAUCCUCAAGGGCAUGUUCCUUGAGACUCACCCCAUGGGAUAGAUCCCCCUCUCCCUCGCGCGGCGGCGGAGGCGGUGACGGCGGGAAGGAGCGAGGUCCGUCGUCCGGAGAGCCGGCGCAUCUCUCUCUCUCUCUCUCUCUCCUCUCUCUCUCUCUCUCUCUCUCUUUCUCUCUCUCUCGCU